rnacentral:rRNA from 1 species
UACGUAGGGUGCAAGCGUUAAUCGGAAUUACUGGGCGUAAAGCGUGCGCAGGCGGUGAUGUAAGACAGAUGUGAAAUCCCCCGGGCUCAACCUGGGAACUGCAUUUGUGACUGCAUCGCUGGAGUGCGGCAGAGGGGGAUGGAAUUCCGCGUGUAGCAGUGAAAUGCGUAGAUAUGCGGAGGAACACCGAUGGCGAAGGCAAUCCCCUGGGCCUGCACUGACGCUCAUGCACGAAAGCGUGGGGAGCAAACAGG